GACAAUAUUGUGAAACCAAACUUCCUUUAUUAUUAUUUGUAGAAUAACCACUGGUUGCUCCAGAAAAUAUUAUGUCCCCUCUUCCCCAGGGAAAGCUCUUUUCUUAAAUUUUAUUUGGGGGUGGUUGUGUAUGAAAUACCAAAAUGCAAAAGGAGUGUUGUUCUUAUUAAUUUUUAAUUCUGUCGGUGCUGGGAUUUUUUUUUUUAAAAGGGCUUAGGGCUGUCCCUUAGGGGCGGACAUAGUAUUUUCUGGAACAGACAUAAUUUUAUUAACACAUGUUCAAUUUAACAACAAAUUUAUUUUUUAAAUAAGAACAAAGGUUAAUCAUAAGAUAUGAAUAAUUAAUUGUGUUAAAUUUCUAACAUACAUCAUCAAAAUGUGUAUAAUGGGCAAAGAUACAAACAUCUCAGUAACAACACAACAUAAUUAUGAAUCUGCAGUUUAUUAUAGGACCAGC
rnacentral:lncRNA from 1 species